rnacentral:tRNA from 1 species
GCCUGGGUGGCUCAGUUGGUUGAGCGUCUGACUUUGGCUCAGGUCAUGAUCUCACAGUUUGUGGGUUCGAGCCCCGCGUCAGGCU